GCCUACGGGGGGCAGCAGUAGGGAAUCUUCCACAAUGGGCGAAAGCCUGAUGGAGCAACGCCGCGUGGGUGAAGAAGGUCUUCGGAUCGUAAAACCCUGUUGUUAGAGAAGAAAGUGCGUGAGAGUAACUGUUCACGUUUCGACGGUAUCUAACCAGAAAGCCACGGCUAACUACGCGCCAGCAGCCGCGGUAAUACGUAGGUGGCAAGCGUUAUCCGGAUUUAUUGGGCGUAAAGGGAACGCAGGCGGUCUUUUAAGUCUGAUGUGAAAGCCUUCGGCUUAACCGGAGUAGUGCAUUGGAAACU
rnacentral:rRNA from 1 species